GACGAACGCUGGCGGCGUGCUUAACACAUGCAAGUCGAACGGAAAGGCCCUGCUUUUGUGGGGUGCUCGAGUGGCGAACGGGUGAGUAACACGUGAGUAACCUGCCCUUGACUUUGGGAUAACUUCAGGAAACUGGGGCUAAUACCGGAUAGGAGCUCCUGCUGCAUGGUGGGGGUUGGAAAGUUUCGGCGGUUGGGGAUGGACUCGCGGCUUAUCAGCUUGUUGGUGGGGUAGUGGCUUACCAAGGCUUUGACGGGUAGCCGGCCUGAGAGGGUGACCGGCCACAUUGGGACGGAGAUACGGCCCAGACUCCUACGGGAGGCAGCAGUGGGGAAUAUUGCACAAUGGGCGGAAGCCUGAUGCAGCAACGCCGCGUGCGGGAUGACGGCCUUCGGGUUGUAAACCGCUUUCGCCUGUGACGAAGCGUGAGAGACGGUAAUGGGUAAAGAAGCACCGGCUAACUACGU
rnacentral:rRNA from 1 species